rnacentral:rRNA from 1 species
AUUGAACGCUGGCGGCAUGCCUUACACAUGCAAGUCGAACGGUAACAGGUCUUCGGAUGCUGACGAGUGGCGAACGGGUGAGUACUACAUCGGAACGUGCCCAGACGUGGGGGAUAACGAGGCGAAAGCUUUGCUAAUACCGCAUACGAUCUAAGGAUGAAAGCAGGGGACCGCAAGGCCUUGCGCGUUUGGAGCGGCCGAUGGCAGAUUAGGUAGUUGGUGGGAUAAAAGCUUACCAAGCCGACGAUCUGUAGCUGGUCUGAGAGGACGACCAGCCACACUGGGACUGAGACACGGCCCAGACUCCUACGGGAGGCAGCAGUGGGGAAUUUUGGACAAUGGGCGAAAGCCUGAUCCAGCAAUGCCGCGUGCAGGAUGAAGGCCUUCGGGUUGUAAACUGCUUUUGUACGGAACGAAAAGGCUCUGGCUAAUACCUGGGGCACAUGACGGUACCGUAAGAAUAAGCACCGGCUAACUACGUG